rfam:Schistosoma mansoni strain Puerto Rico chromosome 3, complete genome
GCACUGCUGAGGAUUCCUAUAAUAGAACGAAACGGCCGUCCAGUGC